GAAGUGGCUCUUCUGGAGCAGUGGUUCUCAAACUGUUUUAUAUAUUUUUGUAAAAUCUCAUUACCUCCGUGUACCCUCAUUUGACAACCACUGUUCUAAAGAGUACAACUUCGCGUUGGCAGGGCUGGGUAACAGGACUGUUGUCUUUAGUGCCCAGGGAAGGAGGGGGUGUUGUAGAGUCCCCGCUCCGGAUGAAGCAGCCUUUUUUUUUUUAAAAGAGGACUUCGCGUAGGCAGGGAUAAAAAACUUGUGUGGUUGAGUGUGUGACUGGUAGGAUAAAUUGACUAAAUAGCAGUUCUAGCAUUGAUCCACAGCAAUAACACAGGCUAGUAAUUUGUUGAAAGGUCAAUUUAAACCUGCAUUGAGGAUCCUCAAAGAAAAAGAA